rnacentral:rRNA from 1 species
UACGAGGGGGGCAAAUGUUGUUCGGAAUCACUGGGCGUAAAGGGAGCGUAGGCGGGUUUUAAGUCAGGUGUUUAAUCCCGGGGCCCAACCCCGGACAGGCACUUGAAACUGGGAAUCUUGAAUAGUGGAGGGGUCAGUGGAAUUGGGGGUGUAGCGGUGGAAUGCGUAGAGAUCCCCAAGAACACCCGUUGCGAAGGCGGCUGACUGGACACAUAUUGACGCUGAGGCUCGAAAGCAUGGGGAGCAAACAGG